AGCGGAAAAGCAAUUUUAAUUGCAUCUUGGUUUCGGCCCGGGAAGAGCCCACAGCGUUCCGUUU
rnacentral:tRNA from 1 species